GCGGACUCCGCGAUGCUCGUCAUGUUCUGGAUGAGGCGCAUUUCUCUUUCCCCGCAAACAGCGACGUUAUUCCCGGUUCAGUGGUAGAGAUAUGAUGUCGCCCAUAACUCCCAGUUCAGAGGAUCGCAGUGACAUGUCAGCAACAAGAGCCCGACCAAGAAGAGGUGUGAAGUUUACCCAUCGAUCUGUCAGACCGGCCUCCUCAGGACGAGAUGAAGAGAGAUGAUAACCGGCAACAAGCCAAAAGCCAACCACCACGAUGACGAGGGGGUGUGUGAAUAUACGUAAAC